AGCAAUUUAAAACAUUCGCAGUGCGUGUUCUACCAGACCUAAAGAUACUCGGCUUCGACUGGUAUCUUUGUAUCUGAUCAAACACUGCUGUGCAUGUUUUAAAUAGUACAUAAAGUUUCGGCAGAGUAGUAUGCGGGCCAUGUUCAUUAUUUCUCUGUAACUACGUUUUAGAUAACAUGACUCACUCAUUUGGCUCUGUAUAUCUGAAGUUGCAGCAAACGUUGCCUCGCGUGACAUGACCUUAAAGUUUAGUGUAAACACGAUAGAUAAACCAUCCAGACGAAAUAAAAUAUUGCAGGGAAACUGUGAGCAUGGCUCAUCGUUUAACCUGUCAACAUUUUUCAUUAUAUUUCUUUCAAUUUUCAUCCCUUAGUGGUUUUGGGAACAAAUCACGCUUGAUAUUUUCCUGAUAGCUGGUCUAAUGUCGUCGAAAUAUCUUACUGAUUUUUCCGCUCGCAAAAAUUCGUCCAAAUUUGGCCGUCUCUAGCGUAAAUUGGGUCAUUCGCAUUUAAGAUUCAUUUAACAUAUUCACAUUGGCUAAUUAGUAUAGUAAAGGAACAAGAUUAAAUCACAGUAAAUAUUGAAUAGUAGGGGACUAUAAUUAUAUAAUCAUAUAGUGCUAAUAGCACGAUAUUAAUUUUACUUUAAGUUGAUGAUUAUCAUAUACUUGCUUUAUUUUAAUCAACAUUUUUCAAUUAUCAGAAUUGCAUGGUUAAAAACUUCGCAUUGCGAAAUGCAAUCAACGGUUGGUACUUUAUGUAAUCUAAAUUGAAAUGUAGGAACAUGUAAUCCAAAUGAUGUAAUCUUGAUUAAACCAAUUUGUCGAUCAACUGGUGUG